GGGGCUGUAGCUCAGUGGUAGAGCAUCUGCCUAGUCUAUAGAAGGUCCCAGGUUCGAUUCCUGGCAUCUCUA